UGCUGGAGGUAUCAGAAGUGCGAAUGCUGACAUAAGUAACGAUAAAGCGGGUGAAAAGCCCGCUCGCCGGAAGACCAAGGGUUCCUGUCCAACGUUAAUCGGGGCAGGGUGAGUCGACCCCUAAGGCGAGGCCGAAAGGCGUAGUCGAUGGGAAACGGGUUAAUAUUCCCGUACUUGGUGUUACUGCGAAGGGGGGACGGAGAAGGCUAUGUUGGCCGGGCGACGGUUGUCCCGGUUUAAGCGUGUAGGUGUGUGUUCCAGGUAAAUCCGGUUCACUUUAACACUGAGGCGUGAUGACGAGGCACUACGGUGCUGAAGCAACAAAUGCCCUGCUUCCAGGAAAAGCCUCUAAGCAUCAGGUAACAUCAAAUCGUACCCCAAACCGACACAGGUGGUCAGGUAGAGAAUACCAAGGCGCUUGAGAGAACUCGGGUGAAGGAACUAGGCAAAAUGGUGCCGUAACUUCGGGAGAAGGCACGCUGACAUGUAGGUGAAGUGAUUUACUCAUGGAGCUGAAGUCAGUCGAAGAUACCAGCUGGCUGCAACUGUUUAUUAAAAACACAGCACUGUGCAAACACGAAAGUGGACGUAUACGGUGUGACGCCUGCCCGGUGCCGGAAGGUUAAUUGAUGGGGUCAGCGCAAGCGAAGCUCCUGAUCGAAGCCCCGGUAAACGGCGGCCGUAACUAUAACGGUCCUAAGGUAGCGAAAUUCCUUGUCGGGUAAGUUCCGACCUGCACGAAUGGCGUAAUGAUGGCCAGGCUGUCUCCACCCGAGACUCAGUGAAAUUGAACUCGCUGUGAAGAUGCAGUGUACCCGCGGCAAGACGGAAAGACCCCGUGAACCUUUACUAUAGCUUGACACUGAACAUUGAGCCUUGAUGUGUAGGAUAGGUGGGAGGCUUUGAAGCGUGGACGCCAGUCUGCGUGGAGCCGACCUUGAAAUACCACCCUUUAAUGUUUGAUGUUCUAACGUGGACCCGUAAUCCGGGUUGCGGACAGUGUCUGGUGGGUAGUUUGACUGGGGCGGUCUCCUCCUAAAGAGUAACGGAGGAGCACGAAGGUUGGCUAAUCCUGGUCGGACAUCAGGAGGUUAGUGCAAUGGCAUAAGCCAGCUUGACUGCGAGCGUGACGGCGCGAGCAGGUGCGAAAGCAGGUCAUAGUGAUCCGGUGGUUCUGAAUGGAAGGGCCAUCGCUCAACGGAUAAAAGGUACUCCGGGGAUAACAGGCUGAUACCGCCCAAGAGUUCAUAUCGACGGCGGUGUUUGGCACCUCGAUGUCGGCUCAUCACAUCCUGGGGCUGAAGUAGGUCCCAAGGGUAUGGCUGUUCGCCAUUUAAAGUGGUACGCGAGCUGGGUUUAGAACGUCGUGAGACAGUUCGGUCCCUAUCUGCCGUGGGCGCUGGAGAACUGAGGGGGGCUGCUCCUAGUACGAGAGGACCGGAGUGGACGCAUCACUGGUGUUCGGGUUGUCAUGCCAAUGGCACUGCCCGGUAGCUAAAUGCGGAAGAGAUAAGUGCUGAAAGCAUCUAAGCACGAAACUUGCCCCGAGAUGAGUUCUCCCUGAGACUUAGAGUCUCCUGAAGGAACGUUGAAGACGACGACGUUGAUAGGCCGGGUGUGUAAGCGCAGCGAUGCGUUGAGCUAACCGGUACUAAUGAACCGUGAGGCUUAACCUUACAACGCCGAAG
rnacentral:rRNA from 1 species